rnacentral:tRNA from 6 species
GGGCCCAUAGCUCAGGUGGUUAGAGCGCUUCGCUGAUAACGAAGAGGUCCCAGGUUCAAGUCCUGGUGGGCCCA